rnacentral:rRNA from 1 species
AAUUGAUUAUGACGUGCUUGCACUGAAUGAGAUUUUAACACGAAGUGAGUGGCGGACGGGUGAGUAACACGUGGGUAACCUGCCCAGAAGCAGGGGAUAACACCUGGAAACAGAUGCUAAUACCGUAUAACAGAGAAAACCGCCUGGUUUUCUUUUAAAAGAUGGCUCUGCUAUCACUUCUGGAUGGACCCGCGGCGCAUUAGCUAGUUGGUGAGGUAACGGCUCACCAAGGCGAUGAUGCGUAGCCGACCUGAGAGGGUAAUCGGCCACAUUGGGACUGAGACACGGCCCAGACUCCUACGGGAGGCAGCAGUAGGGAAUCUUCCACAAUGGACGCAAGUCUGAUGGAGCAACGCCGCGUGAGUGAAGAAGGGUUUCGGCUCGUAAAGCUCUGUUGUUAAAGAAGAACGUGGGUGAGAGUAACUGUUCACCCAGUGACGGUAUUUAACCAGAAAGCCACGGCUAACUACGUGCCAGCAGCCGCGGUAAUACGUAGGUGGCAAGCGUUAUCCGGAUUUAUU